rnacentral:rRNA from 1 species
GAUGAACGCUGGCGGCGUGCCUAAUACAUGCAAGUCGAGCGAACGGACGAGAAGCUUGCUUCUCUGAUGUUAGCGGCGGACGGGUGAGUAACACGUGGAUAACCUACCUAUAAGACUGGGAUAACUUCGGGAAACCGGAGCUAAUACCGGAUAAUAUUUUGAACCGCAUGGUUCAAAAGUGAAAGACGGUCUUGCUGUCACUUAUAGAUGGAUCCGCGCUGCAUUAGCUAGUUGGUAAGGUAACGGCUUACCAAGGCAACGAUGCAUAGCCGACCUGAGAGGGUGAUCGGCCACACUGGAACUGAGACACGGUCCAGACUCCUACGGUAGGCCGCAGUAGGGAAUCUUCCGCAAUGGUCGAAAGCCUGACGGAGCAACGCCGCGUGAGUGAUGAAGGUCUUCGGAUCGUAAUACUCUGUUAUUAGGGAAGAACAUAUGUGUAAGUAACUGUGCACAUCUUGACGGUACCUAAUCAGAAAGCCCCGGCUAACUACGUG